rnacentral:lncRNA from 1 species
UCUCCCUCUAAAAAUGUCGUCUGCAACUCACCAUCUCUUGAAGCCCUUCUCAAUCCCAAAUGGGUCUCCAAUCUCUCUUCCCACCAUCUUCUCCACCAAAACCCCACAUUCAUAUCUGCCAAUUCCUCCUCACAAACCCAUUAAGCUUCUCUUAUCAUGCUCUCAAUCUUCACUCUUUUCCCCAUCUUUGUUUCUUAAGAGCAAGACCCUUUCUUCUUCUGUAGUCACCUUCGUUGCCCAGACCUCGGACUGGGCUCAGCAGGAAGAAGACAACACAGUGAUAAUUGAAGAAGAGCAGGAAGAGAAGGUCACUUGGGAAAAU